AAACAGCUAAAUUAUAUAUUGCGUCAUCAUUUUAGACGAGGUCAACAGUGACCGCGAAUCUAAUUGGAUUAACAGAUAAAUUUUACAUGCGGGAAAGAUUUUCUUAGUAGACGCGUGGUGAUUUUAAGUACCUAUCAGUUUUCUUUGUUAGUUAAAGGAUCCGUUGCUUUUACUUGAUAAGUAAACCAAUAAGGAUUAAUUAUUAAAGAAGUGGUUUUGAAUUAACGCUUAUUUGAAGAGCAGUUAAAGAAAAUUUACUUCUAAAGAAACUGUUUAUCAUACAUUUUCACAGCCUAAUUAGCUAUGGAAGCUGUUCAUCUUAUCUUUGCUGUCUUAUCUUUGUUCUGCUUAACGAAGAUAAGCGCUGUUGAAUACUCUGUAUUGGUAAACAUGGAUCUGAGUAAUGACGGAGAAGUGGUUGGCUUGAGUGGAUCUUGUGGACCGAGUCAGAGAUAUGAUCCGUACGCCAUGAAGUGCCGUAAUUUAGUCUGUCCUCAGCCAGGGUAUAGAAUGAUUAAUGGUAAAUGUAGAAGCCGUAGUAGAAGCCAGAGACAUAUUAUAGAAGAUAAACCACUCCAGCCAAAAUAGCUAAAGAAAACAAAGCACCAUUGUCACACACUUGGGGAUUUUCUCCUUCCCCUACAUCUAGCACCACGACAGUUUUAACGAUAUUUUCCCAUUUUUAUCAUAGAAAUUAAAGACUCAUACUGCUUAAUUUCUUCAUUUGAAGUAUAAGUAAAUAAUAUUUGAGCUGAAUACUCUUAGAUCUAUAUUUUCAAAAGUGAACAUUUUCUAAAAAUACUUAAAUAAGUUUUAUUCUUUGUAAUGAAAGUAAAUGACGAACUUUUACUGUUUAUAAACAUCCCUAGAUGGCAGCACCAGUUAUUAUAGUUAAUAGUUUCAUAAAGUUUGUAACUCAUUGAAAUCAAAGAUAUCAAUUUACUAUAUUAUAAACUUCUCUUUUUUUAUAAAGUGAACUUCCUUUCCUCCGUUCUUCCAUGAAAAAAGAUAAAAAGAUUUUGUGAAAUGUAUUCUAGAAAGGAAUGAUUAAAAACUUUUACUUUUAUCAUUGUCACUAGAUAUCAGCAUCAUUUGGAGAAGACGAGCUUGUUUUAAAUUUUAUAUACGUUUUUAAAAAAGUGAAAAGUGGUGUCAAAAUGCACCUUUUUUUGUCAGUACUACUUUCAAAUUAAAAAUAAAAGAACAAUAUAAAAUCUAUUACACUAUUGUGAGAAGAAUAUCAAAGAAUGAUUUUCUGUCUAGGUGGAGUGGUACCUCUUAUUUUUUCCUCUUUGGUAAAAACUUAUUUUGUUGAUGAGUAUAUCAUUGUGCCAUGUAAUUAAAUAUCUUUAUUGAAUUCUUUUCAGUUCAAAUACUGUGCAAAUAAAUUUUUAUUUUAAUA